GGCGCCGUGGCUUAGUUGGUUAAAGCGCCUGUCUAGUAAACAGGAUCGUUAGUUCGAAUCUUGCCGCUGCCU